CAGAGUUCAUGCCCUUCGGGGUAGAUCUCCACCCGUGUUUAUUUAUACCUUUGUUGCUUUGGCAGGCCGUCAGGCUUCGGCUUGACUAUCGGCUCCGGCUGGUAAGCGCCUGCCAGAGGAAAUUCAACUCUGAAUUUAAGUGUUGUCUGAGUAAAAACAUAAUAUUUA
rnacentral:misc_RNA from 2 species